UACAGAGGGUGCAAGCGUUAUUCGGAAUUACUGGGCGUAAAGCGUGCGUAGGCGGUUAUGUAAGUCAGAUGUGAAAGCCCCGGGCUUAACCUGGGAAUGGCAUUUGAGACUGCAUAGCUAGGGUGCGGAAGAGGGAAGCGGAAUUUCCGGUGUAGCGGUGAAAUGCGUAGAUAUCGGAAGGAACACCAGUGGCGAAAGCGGCUUCCUGGUCCAGCACCGACGUUCAGGCACGAAAGCGUGGGGAGCAAACAGG
rnacentral:rRNA from 1 species